CCAGGCUGGUCUCGAACUCUUGACCUCAGGUGAUCCAUCCGCCUUAGCCUCCCAAAGUGUUGGGAUCAUAGGCGUGAGCCACCGUGCCCGGCCCAAGCUUUUUAUUUUGAGAUACUUGGGUUCACAUGCUGUUGCAAGAGGGCCCUGCCACGUCACAGCAGCAGGCAGACCACCUCCAGGGACCUUCUGGGGGCACAGGCUCCCUCCUGGCCCCUCUUCCACCCCAGGGGGUUCUGGGGCAGCUGCGGCUAAGCCUGGCACAGCCAGAGCCGGGGGCCAGGGAGUGGGCGUGCCUCUGGAGUCACCAGUUGUUUCCUGUCUUCUGGGAGCUGGGACGAUGGAGAACUCAAGGCUGGUGAAGAGGCCACCUGACGCCUGCAGUCGGCCAGGGCCAGGAGGGUUUCUGACGAAACAGCCUUUUACUCGCCAAAAAACAAGACCGUGGUGUUGGGAGACACCCUCAGGAGAAUGUGUGUCUGAGCAUGGCUGAGCCUGACUCCUGGGGGAGGACUUGGAGAAAGAGCUCCACAAUUGUCCUCUGUCCACCUCUCAGCCGCCUCCAUAGCUCAGUGCAGGGUGCCAGGCUCAGACUCUGCAAGCAGCUCCCCUCCAGCCCUGGGCAGCACCGAGGUUCCAGACCAAGGACCACGGAGUGCGGGGCUGCCCUCCACUGGGGCGCCCGGCUGCAGGUCCAGCAUGGAGAGAGCUCUUGAGACUAGAAAGUCCCCAAGAAAAUGCUAUCCCUCGCUAAGGGGCACUGGCUCCCAGACCCUGCCCCAAGGGCCGGACAUCCUGGGCCAUGUGUCCAGGGAGGGUCAGGCCAUGCGGCCUCUAGGAAACAAUGCCUGGCCAGACUCAGAGGACGGGGUCAGCCAGGGACUGGGGCUGUGUGAACCAGCAAGGCGGGCUGGGGGGUCUUCAGCCUGGUGUGGACUCCUCACCUGGCUCAGGGGUACCCUGGGGAAGCUGGGGCCUAGCUCCCUGACGGCCAAGAAGCUGAGCCUUGGUGUGACCCACACAAGCCAUGGUGCCUCCGUGUAUGCGCACUGCUGGUCAUGAUGGUCGCACUCCCUUUGACAUUUCAA
rnacentral:lncRNA from 1 species